rfam:Cloacibacterium normanense strain NRS-1 CloNor.contig.34_1, whole genome shotgun sequence.
CGUUCACCGCGCUAACGAUGGAAGCGGCAUCCUUUUUUAAAUUUUUUGCCUCGGAAAAUAAGUUUGGAGAAAAUUUAAAAAAGAUAUAGCGGACAGCGUGUUAAAGC